CUACCUACUCGGUAUUUAUUCUCCAUAGAAGGGCUAAUGGCCGGAUUAAUCAAAACAUGUCUGCCAUUUUGGUUUUGUAUUUAAAUGUGUGUAUGCAUGUUUGGGUAGAAUAUUAUUUUCUUUUUUCUAUGCAUAUAUGUGUGAAUUUAAUUUUUUUUAACAAAAUGUUAUUUUUGUGUGUUCGAUAAAAUUCCAAUAAAUUAGAAGUUUUUUUUUUUUUUAAAUGAGUGAUGUCUUUAUUUUGUGAUGUCAUAGAAUUGUUUGGUUAGAAAAGUUGACAAGAUGAUGGUUGAAAACACACGUUCACACAAUUUUAUAAAUACAACAAUUUUAUUGGAAAUUGUGCAUCAUUUCCAAAGAAAAUUUCAACAAAAUUUCUCAAAAGUUUAUUCCCAACGAUUCCGACAGAGCAAAAAAAAAAACAAA